UCUGUAUAAUUCUUGCACUUUGAUAGACAUCUACUUCUUUUUAAGGUUAAGGAAAUUUUCUGCUAUGAUUUUAUUGAAAAUAUUUUCUGUGACUUUUACCUGGGUUUCUUCGUCAUCCUCUUAGAUAUUGUCUUUAUAGUGUGUCUCAGAUUUCCUUGAUAUUUUGUGAGAGGAGUUUUUUGAUUUAACAUUUUCUUUGACCAGUGUAUCAAUUUCUUCUAAUGUGUUUUAAACACCUGAGAUUCUCUCUUCUAUCUCUUGUAUUCUGUUGGUGAAGUGUAGUAACAUGUAAUUAUGUCUAACUGUAAGUAAAAUGUAAAGCCUUUGUGUCUGGCUUUGAGAGAAAUGUUUCAGUAAAGUCUUUGUUAUGUCUGGGUUAAUCAGUACAGGCUGAGAAAUUGUUUUGAGACUUUAAAUCUUGAAGAAAUGUCUUUUUGGAAAAUCUGCACUUGGUGUUACUGCUACAUGAGAGCUUGCAGGUGCACCGACCCUUGUCCUAAGACACUCCUGGCAAACCUGAAGUUCUUACAUUUGAUUAUGGCCAUAAUCAAAACGUACUGAGAUCUGUGUGGGUUGUCUGCUCUCGUGGGCAGCAAGAACAAGAUGACUUUGGUAGUUGGAACCUUUCCCAGCCCCUAUUAGCCUUACACAUAUUUGAAUAAAGUAACUGGAGUGAACUAGCUGGGUGUUAGUCUUUUCCAAGAAGGCUAAGCCCCUCUGCUCUUUUGGCAAAUGAAGACUUAACAUCUUGGUGAGCUUUUCUCUGACCUGGAGCACCUGGGACAGACAUCAAACAAGAGUAAAGGUGGCCUGCGUGGUUCCUGUUUGAGCUCCUAAAGUUUUCACUUCCAGUUUCAUCUUAGUUUGAGUUUUCUUUAUUAAUUCUAGUUCUACUUCAAAUUUUGAAAAGUUUUCUUCAUUUCCUCCCACUGUGUUUUCCUGGAUUUCUUUAAGGGAUUUAUUUUUCUCUUUAAGGCACUUUAUUAUAUUCAUAAAGGCUGGUUUUUUUGUGUAAUGAUGUGACCUGUUUAUUUAAAAUGAUUUCCCAGUUUGCUCAGUGAUUUAGCAGGCUUUCUUUUACUUUCACCUCAAACAAUCAACAUAUUUUUGUAUUUUAUUUUAACCAUGUAUGCUAUUUUGACAUUUUAUUAAUACCAGAUUUCAAUACAUUGACCAAUGAGUAGUACAGAUUUCAAUUAGACCCUUGGUAGCUAUGGUCUCAUUCCCAGAUUCUUGGGAUUUUGGUGAUGAUGGCUGUUCCUUCAGGCCCUGUUUCCAACCUACUGUAAGACUUAAGCAGCACACUCCUCCAUUCAAGGCCUCUUUAUUGUCUUCAAAAUAUAAAUGUAAAUUUUUAUCUGUAGGUAAGUCCAUGAGACUGGCCCAUCACUUUCAUAUACUCUCUUUUGUUUCUGUUCUUUGAAGAACAGAGCCUUGUCUUGCUAUGUAACCCCGGAUGGUCUCAAGCCUCAGGUAUUCCUCUUGCCUCGGCCUCCAGUGCUGUUCCAGGUGUGAUCCAUCACAAAUGCUUUACUAUCUAUCUCUUGCAUUUUUCUUUCUUUUCAGUUUGUUUUCUCUCAUUUGCUUUCAUUUCAUCUGUAUUUGCUACUUUUUUACCUAUAAAGCAUUACUUUCCACACUCAAACAAACAUGACUUUAUUAAAAUAAGCAUGAGCCCAAAUAUUCUUUUUUUUAUUGAGCUCUACAUUUUUCUCUGCUCCCCUCCCUAGCUCUCCCCUUCCCUCCUUCAACCCUCCCCCAGGGUCACCUUAUGCUCCCAAUUUACUCAGGAGAUCUUGUCUUUUUCUAUUUUCUGCUUCCCGUGUAGAUUAGAUCUAUGUAUGUCUCUUUUAGUAUCCUCACUGUUUUCUAAGUUCUCUGGGAUUAUGAACCCAAAUAUUCUUAAUCUGAUGCACUUAGAUCAGUAGAUAAGACUGCUUUCCUUAAAUUUUCAUUGAUUCCUACCUUUAAAAGCCAACCAUAAAGUCAUGCCUGAAAAAUAAAGAAUCUGCAAGGACAAAAUAGGCAUUUCAAAGACAAAAAAUGUAAUGAUCCAAUUUACUGUACAAUGUAUCAAAGUCAACAGAAGACAGUAUAAGAACAGCCAACUUCAAAUAUAUCACUUACAACAUUCUCCUAAAUAAUAUCAUUGAAGAACAUGGAUUUUCAGAUAUCUGCUCAUUAGCUCCAAGAAAAAUAUAGAGAGAUAUGGGGGACAGAAUGAUAAGAUAAGUUUUCUCUUCCCAAAUAAAACUAUAUGGGUAUCAAGAAUUGAAGAUUAAAGUUCUAAAGCAGAAUUUUAGACAUAACACUUUGUUGGCUCUGGGGAUAAAUCACGGUCACAGAUAGCAUGGGGUUUAAUCCCCAGUACCACUUCAGGAAAGGGGGGAUGACUUUUUCUUUUUUUGGACAGAAACAGGAUAGGGCAUUUCUCAAUAAUAGUUUGCUAAUUAUGUUAAGAAAAAUUGGACAUACCCAUUCCACCCAGAGACAAAGGAGCUCUUUCCAUAACACUGUCUCUCACAUUACUAAAGCAGUAUGAAUUAUUUGGGUCAAUUUCACAUUUAAACUAUUUUAAAUGAUCAGUGUAUGCAGAAUUAUUGGGGCUGAGUUAUUUAAAGCUAUUUGAAUUAUCAUGAUUGUAUUUCCUUAGGCAAAUCUGAGUGUCUGUUCUGACAGUGAUGUGGUGAGAAUACGUGAGACCCUUGAAAUCUUCCCAUUAAAAACAUAUGAUCUGUGUGAUGCAAAGAAGUAAGUAGCUCACAUCUUACAUCUUAACAAAGAACUGUGUGCAAGCCUUACGAGGGAAAAACUAGUAACAACAUGUACUGCCUGCUUUAGCACUGACAUCCUACAUAGCUUAAGAAUGUAACAUUAAGCAAAAAUUGAAAACUAUUGUCAUUUUACCAAAGUAAUAAAACAGAGAACAGAAGAAAUGAGUCUGGUGUGGAUCCCAGAGAUCCAUUCAUUCUGAACCAAAUUUUAAUACAAAGGCAUCUACAUACAACUUUCGUUUCUUCUAGAAAGAUUCAAAACAGAUGAGCGAGUGUGGCCUACCUCGUCAAAGACAAAUAUCCAUGUAACUAAAAGUCCCAUAAAGUGCCUCAGCAGACUACAUUAUCGCCCUGCUACUUGAGGUGAGGAUGAGGCUGGGGGAUUGAACUUGCAGAAAUGGAAGGAGAGAUGAAGAUCUUCAGUUAGCGUCCCUGCUUACUUGGCAGAAGCAUGUUUUCUUUCUCCAUCCCAUAUUGAACAAGCAGGGAAAACCAUAUGGAUACAAGAAAAUGUUUCAAAGCACUUACCGUAUUUCCGGAAGCAGAGCAGAGGACCCAUGAUAUUUCAAAUGGUGUUUAAAGCAUGAAUGUACCAGAUAGCGAAGAAGGAAGUAGGCAAUCCAGAUUGCUGGUGCUUAAUCAAGGCCUGAGGCCUUCCAGUGCACAGAUGCUGCUCAGAAAGGCUUCUGCAUACCUAGGAAGUUUCUGAGGUUUAUGAAGUUUGACCCUCAGUCCCAAUGAGAAAGUUCAUCUACAGUGACAUCUCACGUGGAUCCCAGACACUGGAUCAGUAGCUGUGUUGGACCUCUCUUAUGUGUCCCAACAGAAGACACCUUAGUCAGAUUGAGCUCCAGAGGUGACAGACCAGAUCCUGGCUAUGGGAGAAAGCCUAUCAUGUAUUGGAUGCUGAUUUAAAGCAUAUACUGCCUUCUGAAGAAUGCUGCCUUGGCCCUCCAGGCUGCUGCUACUUAAUUGGCGUGGUAACUGUGUCUUCAAAAGACCAUUCCAUCUUUCUAUUAGGCCAGUUGCUUCAGGACUACAUAGUAAAGUCCAGGUUAGCCAGGGUUGCAUAGUGAGAUCCUAUCUCAAAUAAAUAAAUACAUGAAUAUUUAUCAUGUUAGACAUUUUUGGGAAACAUUCUCAGGUGGAUACAUUCCCCCCCCCCCCCAAUUAUAUUGAGUUUAAUGUCUGCUAAGUCCCUAAAACCCAAGGUCUGAAAAAUAAAAAUUCCUAACUUUAGGAGGGAAAGUGACCAUUUUCCUUUUUUAUGUAGGCUCCUAGUAUGUGGGUAGCUGUCAAGGUUUAGCACACAUUGAAUAUACAGUUGCAUUUGACCUAAAACAUAAAUUAGCCUAUAAGUAAAAGAUGAAUCAUAUGGUAAAGAUAAGUUAGUAUUUAUGCUAAUUAUUACUAAUUCUCUUCUGUUUUGUUUUGAGAUUGAAGUCUGGUUUUACAACCCAAGUGGCCCAAGUUCUUUGAGUAACUAAAAUUCUAGGUAUGUGCCACUAUACUGGGAUUGAUUCUUAUUGACAUUAAGUUAAGUUGUGUAUUAUUGAUUAAAGAUGUAUUACUUUUGUUUAUACUCUGGAACAUGUGCUUAAUGAUGCAAAAAUGUGUUGCAUUCUUUUAUGUUGCAUUUGUUUAACUCUGUGAAGCUGUGUUACCUUGCUUAUC